UAACCCACUCCUCGAAUUAGAGGCGCGAGAUUUCAGGGGUCACUCAAUUACACGAUCCGUCUGCUCAUUACUCUCAUUUCAAACAUUUCCACUCUCUUUCCAAUUUAUUCAACUUCUCAAUUUCGUUGCGUUCACUUCCGAAAACCUCCAAAACACAUUGUCAAAUCAAAACCCUAGCCCAAUCCCGCCGCUGACCACAAUCUUGGCGGCAAUAAAGUCCAGUUUUUUUCCAAAAGAGCGUGAACUGCUUGCAUCGACCGACCACCAAUUCGAUAAAUGGCUAAAUGACGAGCAAUUUCAAACAACAUAGAGCCUAGCGUCGAAGAAUCUUCGCGAAUAGUGAACAAGCGACGGAAAGAAAAGAAUUUAGCUGAUGAGGCAACUGAUCGCGACGCUCAACAGAUUCGGCGAAUUCUAAGGAUCCCGGUGACAACGAAGAAAUACUUUCUACAUAUGUUGGACUCCCGUGGGAAUAUGAAAGAAGUUGUUGCUUUGAGAAACGUUGAACCAACAGUGCUGCCAAUAGAGUGGACAACUGCCACAAACAAGGUCGACAGUGGAGUGUACCUAAUGAGGCACAUGGAGACAUUCAUGGGCCAAAAAGCAAAUGAAUGGAAGUGCGGAUUACUCCUAGAAGCUCGCUGUCAUUGCAGUACUUGAGAGCCAAAAUGAGCAAAGAGCUUCUCUUUGGGAAUUCAAACGCAGUGAUGUAUAAAAUCCUGCAUCUUACCCAACAGUGCAAUGAGGAAGGGAAGAAGAAAGGGCCAAUUGAUGUUGAGAAAAUAAUAGCAACAUAUACUAAAUAGUGACGCACGAGAGUUUUAUGAUUUUCAAGAGCUUGCUGUUAUCUGUUGGAUACCAUGUUGUGAAGCAACUUUUUACCGUACAAUGCAAUUGAUACUUGUUAAACAUGCAAUUAGGUUUAUGUUAUAAGUUUGUGAUGGAAACAGUGGUUUAUGACAAAAUAGAUUUUGGGACUGCUAGUUGAUCUUUAUUUUUGACUUGGAGAUUUCUAUUGUAUUUGAAUUGUGAAUCAUUUUUUUGACAGCAAUGCGAAUGUCUGUUAAUGUUA